CCGGGCCGCCUCUGCCUGAGGCGCUUGUGUUGGUGUGGGCGCCUCACGGCCCGCAUGGGCUGCUCCGUGUUUUGGAACACAAAAACCUGAAAAAGCUGUUUUUGCAAUGUACUGGUUGCAGAAGGAGUGGCUGAGUUGUAUCUCUCUUGAGCUCUACUUUUUGGUGGGUUCCCAAAUACAUUGCUGAGGAGUCAAAUGGUAGAAAUGUAGAGGUAUCUUUGCCCUGAUUUUUCCCCCUUUGAAGCCUAACCAAGAGCACUUGUUUGACAGAAUGGCAGAUUUUGUGGCACAUUUUCUUCUUGUUCCCAGACAUGCUAAAGAUGCUUUUUCUCAGGACAUUGAAAGUGGCUUGCUGAAAGUUAUAUAAGAAAUCUGCAGCAGAGUAAAGUUUCAAAGGCCAGUAGAUGAACCCUGAAAACUCAGCAGUCACUAACUGAGGACUGAAUUCUUGUCCAUCAAAACUGGUGCUGUCCAAGAGGCUUCAGAAACCAAGUAGAAAGGAUUCCAGAUGGCCUAUCUAUUCUCCCACUGAAACCAGUGACAGUAGCAGACACAAGCUUAACUUUCAGCACAUUUUUCAACUAGCAAAAAGAGGAUUGAACAGGACACAUGAGGAGAAGAAAAGACAUUCAGUGGAGUCUCUGUCUUCCUACUGUUCUUCCAUAAUUUUCUGUGAAAAUGACAGAAGGAGUCUUGCACCUUUCUUUACCACAAGUCUGGCAUAAUGCCAGCUGGUACUCCCGAGCCAUGUAAAUGUCAUUAGAUGGACAUCAAGCAGAGAAGACACCUUUUUUCCCCCCUCAAGGGGCCAUGAAUUCUCUGGAUUCUGUGUCUCACCUGCAAACAGCAGGUGAGAUUUCCAGGAGCCUCGAUGGUUUUUUCGUGAGAUGGAAACUGAUUGGUAAUUACCAUCCUCUGGUACUUCUGAAAGCACUCUGAGAAGUCAGAUGUUCUCUCUACACAUACUUCUCAAUUACAAAGAUAUUCUGUGAAGGGGAGGUGUCAAGAACUUGAAAAGAAUGAUCCUUUUACUAUGUCUUCAAAUGUGUAGGAUUAUUUUAUGAACAUAUGCAAGAAGCUCAGCUCCAGAGAGAACACAAUCCUAACAAGGACAGAGAAAUCUAAAAAAUAAGGCUGCUACAGAAAUAAAAGUAAGACCUAAACACAAAAUAA